AUAAUGUCCCGUAAUUUUUGUUUUGUUUUUAUGCAUGCACUAAGCCACAGCAUCAGUUGAAAGUCAUUAAUUGUAAUCUUUUAUUGUGGUUCAGUUUUUUUUGUGAAAAAUUUCAUCGGUACUAAUAGAUUUUUUUUCUUAUUGUUUUAUAUAAAAUUCUUGUUAUGGAAGUUUCAGUGUAUUUUAUUUAAAAAAUAUAUUCAUUGCAUUUGAAGCUUUAAUUUAUUGUAAAACGAAUUUAUUUAAAAUUAAAACAUUUCAGAUAGUGCUCAGCAAAUACAACACUUUUGACUAAAAGUGGACAUGUGCCGUUUUUCCCCUGGAAACUUCAUUUAAAUAAAAAUAUGUUGUGGAUGCUUUCCCAAGAUAAGUGCAGUCAGAGUGGUACCAAACUGGUAGAUCCAUUGGUCAUUAUUAUUAAAAAAAAAUAUUAUUUUUAUGAAAAAUCUUAAAGAAAAAAAAACCUAAUUCAAUAAACUUUGAAUUUAAAAUUAUAAUAUUUCGAUAUUUUUUAUCGAAUGCAUGACUUGACAUAAAUAAAGUACCUACCCUUAUCGCAUGUAAAAAUUAAGAAAAUGCUAUUCUAUAGAGAUAACACUCACCGUUUAAUUUUUUGCUCUAUGCCAAUUUAGUUCUAGGAGAUUGUGUUUGUUUUUUGCAUGGAUUUGGUUUAAAUAUCGUUAACAACUUUUUACUUCACUGGUUUCAUUUCAGAUAACGUCAGCGAUUCUCGCGGUUUUGAAUUGUUCGAUGUAUAAAGAAAGGUGUUUUUGCAAUUCUUGCCUUGUUCCACAGGUUCUAAGUUCUGCAUUUCAUCCCUUUCAUACGUUUUUAUGUGACCCGCAUUUAAUAGCUGGGAGAACAACUGCCGUGUAGUGUCUUCCUUCUUUCAGCUUACCACAAUUUUUUGACCCCAGGAGAUGGCAGUUUUUCGCCACAUCAUCAUACACCCUAUGUUUAAACGAUGGUUCGUUGAUGCCGUCAUUUCAAGAUCCUUCACCAACCAUUGAUCAUAGAUCCAAAGUGUAUGCUAUUCAAUGUUGUUUUGUUUUUUUGAUUAACAUCAGUUAUGAUUCCUCCAUCUUCUAUCAUUAUUAUUUAACUGCAAAAAUAUAUAAUUUGGCAUAUUAUUAAAAUAAAAAAUACCCCAUUGCACAUUUGUAAAGUGUCUUAAUCUUUAUUUGGAAAACUUCGUAAAAAUUUACACGAAAUAAAAUAUUAUAUUUAUAUUAUAUGUAUACUUAAUUUUUUUGUUGUUGUUGUUGCUUUAAAUAUUAUGUUUUCUCAUUAUAUUUA